UAGACCUGGAAGAACAUACAAAAUUACAGGAAGAUCAAAUUAGUUCAUUGUGUGGUAAAAAUUCCAUCCUUCACUUCAGCAGCAUUGGACAAAAGUUAAUUUUAAAACAGUUAAUCCAGACAUAUAAUUGAAUAUGUGAUCUUAAAACAGUUUAAUGCAAAGUCCCAAGUCUGUUUUUAUGUUUGGUAACACAGAAAUCUCUCUCCCUGUGGUUCUUAUCCAAAUUCCUUACCUCCGUCAUCGAACAGCCACCAAAUGUCAAUUGUUCCUUUUCCCUGCUUCUUUUUAAAUUGAGUGCUGGCUUCUAGCAGCUUCUGAUUGAAUUCACCCACAUGCAUUGACUGCAUGGUGUUAAUGGUGCUCUCUGCAAUGGGAAAGAAAAAAAUGUGGAGGGAUGUCUGACAAGCGAGGAUAUGAGUAGCUUUAGGGAGCCAAACAGAGGGAAAACUUCAGGGAAAUGAACUGUUUGUGACAUAAUUUCUAUCCUUUAAAUCUAAAAAAACCCAAUUACAGAGUGGAUGCUAUGGAGUUUUAACGUGCCAGCACUCACAGAAACCAAAGCUUGUGGGAUUCAUUGUCACUAGAUUAUAGCAUCUUGAAAAGGGUUGUCUGAUUAUUUGUUCUCUGUCUCUUUUUACUUAAUGUAAAAUUCACUGGGGCCUUAAAAAGCAAGUGGGAAAUAUCUGAUAGAUUUUAGAAGUAAAUGUGUCAUUUUGCAUCAUUUACAAGCUCAGCUGUCUCGUAAAACACAGCUCUCCCUGGAAGGCACAGCCAUGGUGGAUGAAACGAGGAUGCAGUGGGAGCACAGUCUGUAGAUCUUCCUGAUACCUGUGGGAGUUGAAUGCACAGCGAGAUGUAAUAGUCUCUGCAGGUGAAAAUUCUGAAAAUACAUGUCUGUGUACAGGCAUGGCUUCAGAUCUCAGAAGAGCAUGUUUAUCCUCAGAAUUAGCAUUGUAACAGUUUUGGAGGAACCACUGCAAAUUACUGAGAGCUGAAUUACCAAGACUGCAAAUCAGUGACAGAGCUGAAAAUAGAGCCUGGGUGUCAGUGUUGUUUAAAUAUAUAUUACAUUUGGCACAUAGAGUUCAACUAUAUUUUGUGUCUUUGAAGUAAAACCGAGUAUAAGGAAAUGGAUAGUUUAAUUUUACCUGGAACACUUUGGGUGCGCUGACAAGAGAUGCUAGAGCUGAAGACAGAGUAGCUGAAAAGAUGCCAGCUGUGAUGAGAGGACCAAAGCCAGACACCAUGCUCAUCACCUUUAUGAAAAAAAGAAGGUAAAAAGAAUAGUCAGUCAUCACCUUUAUGAGGAAUAGAAGAAAUGAGAAAAAACACGUGGAGGGAACUUGGAGUGCUGAUCUCAACAUCUUCAGUGGCCAAAAGCCUACAGACAGUAUUAUGAAGUUAAUGAAAUACGUACUUUCAGAUCUCCUGAGAUAUUGGCUCCUGCAAGAAUGCCAGUGGCAGCUGGGAAAAAAAU